rnacentral:rRNA from 2 species
UACGGAGGGGGCUAGCGUUGUUCGGAAUUACUGGGCGUAAAGCGCACGUAGGCGGCUUUGUAAGUUAGAGGUGAAAGCCUGGAGCUUAACUCCAGAAUUGCCUUUAAGACUGCAUCGCUUGAAUCCGAGAGAGGUGAGUGGAAUUCCGAGUGUAGAGGUGAAAUUCGUAGAUAUUCGGAAGAACACCAGUGGCGAAGGCGGCUCACUGGCUCGGUAUUGACGCUGAGGUGCGAAAGCGUGGGGAGCAAACAGG